UAAGAAAGCAGAUCGCAUGAUCUAAGCUUUUAAAAAAGGCGGCGUAAGCUGUCGCUUAUGGGAUCGGCCCCGCGGUGCAUUAGCUAGUUGGUAAGGUAAAGGCUUACCAAGGCGAUGAUGCAUAGCCCGAGUUGAGAGACUGAUCGGGCCACAUUGGGGACUGAGGACACGGGGCCCAAAACUCCUACGGGGGGAGGGGCAGCAGUAGGGGGAAUCUUCCACAAUGGACGCAAGUCUGAUGGAGCAACGCCGCGUGAGUGAAGAAGGUUUUCGGAUCGUAAAGCUCUGUUGUUGGUGAAGAAGGAUAGAGGUAGUAACUGGCCUUUAUUUGACGGUAAUCAACCAGAAAGUCACGGCUAACUACGUGCCAGCAGCCGGGUAAU
rnacentral:rRNA from 1 species